UACAGAGGCCACGAGCAUUAGUCGGAAUCACUGGGCUUAAAGGGUGCGUAGGUGGCUUGCCAAGUGCUUUGUGAAAUCCCACGGCUCAACCGUGGAACAGCAGGGCAUACUGGUAGGCUUGAGGCAAGUAGGGGCUGACGGAACAGUAGGUGGAGCGGUGAAAUGCGUAGAUAUCUACUGGAACGCCGAUGGUGAAGACGGUCAGCUGGGCUUGUCCUGACACUGAGGCACGAAAGCGUGGGGAGCAAACAGG
rnacentral:rRNA from 1 species